rnacentral:rRNA from 1 species
UACGUAGGGUGCAAGCGUUGUCCGGAAUUAUUGGGCGUAAAGAGCUCGUAGGCGGUCUGUCGCGUCGGCUGUGAAAGCCCGGAGCUCAACUCCGGGUCUGCAGUCGAUACGGGCAGACUUGAGUGUUGCAGGGGAGACUGGAAUUCCUGGUGUAGCGGUGAAAUGCGCAGAUAUCAGGAGGAACACCGGUGGCGAAGGCGGGUCUCUGGGCAUUACCUGACGCUGAGGAGCGAAAGUGUGGGGAGCGAACAGG